UCCAAGCUCUUAUGUUUGCUACCUUUACAG
rnacentral:piRNA from 1 species